AGAGUGAACGCUGGCGGUAGGCCUAACACAUGCAAGUCGAACGGCAGCACGGUAAGAGCUUGCUCUUAUGGGUGGCGAGUGGCGGACGGGUGAGGAAUACAUCGGAAUCUACCUUUUGGUGGGGGAUAACGUAGGGAAACUUACGCUAAUACCGCAUACGCCCUUCGGGGGAAAGCCGGGGACCAGCAAUGGCCUGGUGCUGAUAGAUGAGCCGAUGUCGGAUUAGCUAGUUGGUGAGGUAAUGGCUCACCAAGGCGACGAUCCGUAGCUGGUCUGAGAGGAUGAUCAGCCACACUGGAACUGAGACACGGUCCAGACUCCGUACGGGAGCAGCAGUGGGGAAUAUUGGACAAUGGGCGCAAGCCUGAUCCAGCCAAUACCGCGU
rnacentral:rRNA from 1 species